UUACAUGUGAUCUAUAGCGUGCAGCAUC
rnacentral:sRNA from 1 species